UGUUUGUAUAGUGUGUGUAUAUAAUGCAGUGUGUUUGUGUAGUGUGCAUUAUAUAAACACACUGCAUUAUAUACACACACUAUACAAAC